rnacentral:rRNA from 1 species
AGGCGCCUACGGGAGGCAGCAGUGAGGAAUAUUGGUCAAUGGGCGGAAGCCUGAACCAGCCAAGCCGCGUGAGGGAAUAAGGCCCUACGGGUCGUAAACCUCUUUUGCCGGGGAGCAAGGGCCGGGACGCGUCCCGGCCCGGAGAGUACCCGGAGAAAAAGCAUCGGCUAACUCCGUGCCAGCAGCCGCGGUAAUACGGAGGAUGCGAGCGUUAUCCGGAUUUAUUGGGUUUAAAGGGUGCGUAGCCCGCC